rnacentral:rRNA from 1 species
UACGUAGGGUGCAAGCGUUGUCCGGAAUUAUUGGGCGUAAAGAGCUCGUAGGCGGCUUGUCACGUCUGCUGUGAAAACUCGGGGCUCAACCCCGAGCCUGCAGUCGAUACGGGCUGGCUGGAGUUCGGUAGGGGAGACUGGAAUUCCUGGUGUAGCGGUGAAAUGCGCAGAUAUCAGGAGGAACACCGGUGGCGAAGGCGGGUCUCUGGGCCGAUACUGACGCUGAGGAGCGAAAGCGUGGGGAGCGAACAGG